AGUCACAUACAGGAGCUGCUUUCUGUUGUUGUUUCUCCACAGAAAAGUGACUAAGGGUGGAGGAAGGCAAAAGAACACGUUGCUCCUGGAAAGACUUCCAUGGGUUUUAGGCUUCUGGGCUCAGCUGGUCCAGCUGGACCCAGAACGAGGAAAAUAAUAAUGAGGCUUGAAGGAGUAUGCAUCCCCUGCCUGCUUUUGCCACCUCUGCAUGUGCCCUCCCAUCUAUUCUCUCAUCUCAUCCUCAUGGAGGCUUCCCAGCAUAGCAGCAAGGAUCACAAGAGCACUGCUCCCUGGCCCCGCUUCCGAGUACAAAACAUUCUGUUUCCUGCCCUUAGAAAAAGAGGCAGUUAUGAUUUACCUCCAUUUGACAGACGAGAAAACUGAGAGCCAGAGAACUUAGUGCUACUCCCAUGGCUCCCACAUGUCCCAUGGGGCAGUGGUUCCCAACCUUAGUGACAAUAAGGGCCCUUUUUUUAUGUCAAAAAUAUUCUCAAACCUCCCCCAACUCU
rnacentral:lncRNA from 10 species